GCGAUUUAAGUUCCAAUAGCGCGUGCUAUAACCAACGGCAGUGCACCAAAGUUGUGCAAAUCGCACCGUUCUUCUGAUGAGUAACGUACAACUGUACAGGACAGGUGGAAUAUACUUACGAAGACAAACUCAAGGAAAACAACUCAACAGCUUUCACUAAGCUAUGUUUUGUUACAAGUUGAGGUAAUUGUUUACAUCUUUGUGGCAACAGCAGAGAAUGACAGUAUUCAAUCGGACUAGCAUUAAUUGCAGUUAUAUCAUCUUUGUCUGUAUUAUUUAAAUUCAUUAUUUGUUCUUCUGACACAAGUUUUGUAAAGUUAAAAUCUUUCUCAUUGAAAGGUUGGUUCAUUGAAAUAAUAUUUUCUGGAAAUCUUC
rnacentral:misc_RNA from 1 species